rnacentral:lncRNA from 13 species
GUCAAGAAGAGUGUGGUUUUCCAUUUCUGUGCCUAAUACCUAGUUACUGUUGGCAAGGGUGGACUAUCAUUUUGCUGACCAGGAUUGAAAUGUAAAACAGAAAACCUGAGAGGGAAGAAGUAACACUAUAGAGAAAAAAAUUCAUAAUGUAAAAAGGUCUGCAUGGAAGAGGAUUGAAGAGCCAGAUGGAGGAGAGCCAAGAAGUUUGGAGCAGGUUUUGUGGAUUGAAGAGUACAGAUGUGUGCAGCAACAGUUUUGUCAGGCGCAGCAGUUAUAAGUCAUGUUCUGGCUUUGCAUCCUAGAAUUGUGUUCAUUAUCCUCUGUUAUCCCUGAGGAAAUGGUGAAUGAUUAUAAAGUCCUCUCCAUAGCCAUCACCUUUGCUGUCAUCUUGCUUCAUGAUUUCUCCUGCCAUGGUUAGUAAGCACCUUCCCAAGCAGCACCUGCUAGGAAAAGACUGUUUUUGGAGUUCUCUAUGCGAUAUCCUCAAGAACAGAUGAGCUGAAGAAAAGCUGUCAUUUUAUCUGACAGGACAAAUUCAAAGUAAGCUACAACAUUUUAUGAGACGUAAGUAAAGUAUGUGAAUGAGAAACACUUCUAUUUUUUAAACUGUAUUUCUUUUACUAUGUUGUUAUACCUUCGCAUCCUUUCUACAUACCUUUGUUAAAUUAAUCCCAACAUCUAUAAUAGUUCCAUUGACAUGGUUUGGCUGAGUCCCCAUCCAAGUCUCACCUUGAAUUGUAGCUCCCAUAAUUCCCAUGUAGGAGGGACCCAGUAGAAGGUAAUUGAAUCAUGGGGGCGGGUCUUUCCCAUGCUAUUCUCAUGAUAGUGAAAGGUCUCACAAAAUCUGAUGGUUUUAUAAUGGGGGUUUUCCUACACAAGCUCUCUCGCAUGCUGCCAUGUAAGAUGUGACUUCGCGCCUCCUUCACCUUUAGCC